rnacentral:lncRNA from 1 species
ACCAAGGGAUCCAAUGACUCAAGGUCGUGGUCCUGAUUAAAGUAAACUAGCGUAAUUUUAUUUUGACAGUUUUCUACACCAAUGCAAUGCAAGAAAUAGACUUUCCUUUGUCAAAUGAAGAUUUAGUUUUGUUUUCAAUCUUCUUUUCAGUUUGAUAUGAUUGGAAAAUUUAAAGAAAGUAGGAGGAGUAAGAGAAGAAAGAAAAGAUUUUUAACUGUUUGCACAGAGUUUUGCUGUGGCUGUAGCUUUCCUCUUAUGGCUUUGGCUUAGCUCAACAUUACUUCACUUCUCCUCUUCAACUAUAUCCAUGGUCAGAUGAAUGUUAUCACCUUUGUGUUCAUCGUUAUUUUUGUCUUCAGUUCAAGUAAACUAAAGGAAAUAUUAUUUGGGAAAGAAACUAAAGAAAACACAAAGAAAAGAAGAAGAAAAUUCUCUCUCAUGGAUAUGUUUAUGGGUGUAUCUGUCAAACCCCCAUUAUGGUUAAGAUUAGGUUUUAACUUUAUACUUUUGUUAAUUUUAUCUGUGC